CUUGCUUCUCUGAUGGUUAGCGGCGGACGGGUGAGUAACACGUAGGCAACCUGCCCUCAAGCUUGGGACAACUACCGGAAACGGUAGCUAAUACCGAAUAGUUGUUUUCUUCUCCUGAAGAGAACUGGAAAGACGGAGCAAUCUGUCACUUGGGGAUGGGCCUGCGGCGCAUUAGCUAGUUGGUGGGGUAACGGCUCACCAAGGCGACGAUGCGUAGCCGACCUGAGAGGGUGAUCGGCCACACUGGGACUGAGACACGGCCCAGACUCCUACGGGAGGCAGCAGUAGGGAAUCUUCCGCAAUGGGCGAAAGCCUGACGGAGCAAUGCCGCGUGAGUGAUGAAGGUUUUCGGAUCGUAAAGCUCUGUUGCCAGGGAAGAACGCUUGGGAGAGUAACUGCUCUCAAGGUGACGGUACCUGAGAAGAAAGCCCCGGCUAACUACGUGCCAGCAGCCGCGGUAAUACGUAGGGGGCAAGCGUUGUCCGGAAUUAUUGGGCGUAAAGCGCGCGCAGGCGGUCAUUUAAGUCUGGUGUUUAAUCCCGGGGCUCAACCCCGGAUCGCACUGGAAACUGGGUGACUUGAGUGCAGAAGAGGAGAGUGGAAUUCCACGUGUAGCGGUGAAAUGCGUAGAUAUGUGGAGGAACA
rnacentral:rRNA from 1 species